rnacentral:rRNA from 1 species
UGAGUAGUAUUAGUUAUGUUCUUGAAACUUAAAGAAUUUGGCGGUAUCUCAUUCCGUCCAGAGGAAUCUGUCCCGUUAUCGAUAGUCCACGUUGGACCUUACUUAAUUGAUUUUGGUUUGUAUACCGCCGUUUAUUGUUUAUCUUUUUAGAGGUGUUAAUUUUCUGGUUUCUUUAUUUUGAUAUAUUUCAGGUCAAGGUGCAGCUUGUUUUUAAGUGGAAUGAUGGAUUACAUUGUUAUUUGUUUAUGGAUUAUUAGUUUUAAUAUUGAUAUGAAAUUGGAUUUGGUUGUAAUAAUUUGUAGAUUAUUAUUAUGAUAAUUGGUUCUGGGAUAUGCACACAUCGCCCGU